rnacentral:rRNA from 1 species
UGGGGAAUUUUGGACAAUGGGCGAAAGCCUGAUCCCAGCAAUGCCGCGUGUGUGAAGAAGGCCUUCGGGUUGUAAAGCACUUUUUGUCCGGAAAGAAAUCCUUGGCUCUAAUACAGUCGGGGGAUGACGGUACCGGAAGAAUAAGCACCGGCUAACUACGUGCCAGCAGCCGCGGUAAUACGUAGGGUGCAAGCGUUAAUCGGAAUUACUGGGCGUAAAGCGUGCGCAGGCGGUUUGCUAAGACCGAUGUGAAAUCCCCGGGCUCAACCUGGGAACUGCAUUGGUGACUGGCAGGCUAGAGUAUGGCAGAGGGGGGUAGAAUUCCACGUGUAGCAGUGAAAUGCGUAGAGAUGUGGAGGAAUACCGAUGGCGAAGGCAGCCCCCUGGGCCAAUACUGACGCUCAUGCACGAAAGCGUGGGGAGCAAACAGGAUUAGAUACCCUGGUAGUCCCACGCCCUAAACGAUGUCAACUAGUUGUUGGGGACUUCAUUUCCUUAGUAACGUAGCUAACGCGUGAAGUUGACCGCCUGGGGAGUACGGUCGCAAGAUUAAAACUUAAAUG